rnacentral:rRNA from 1 species
AGCGAACGCUGGCGGCAGGCCUAACACAUGCAAGUCGAACGCCCCUUCGGGGGAGUGGCGGACGGGUGAGUAACGCGUGGGAACGUGCCCUAAGGUACGGAACAACUGAGGGAAACUUCAGCUAAUACCGUAUGUGCCCUACGGGGGAAAGAUUUAUCGCCUUAGGAGCGGCCCGCGUUGGAUUAGGUAGUUGGUGGGGUAAAGGCCCACCAAGCCUACGAUCCAUAGCUGGUCUGAGAGGAUGAUCAGCCACACUGGGACUGAGACACGGCCCAGACUCCUACGGGAGGCAGCAGUGGGGAAUCUUGCGCAAUGGGCGAAAGCCCGACGCAGCCAUGCCGCGUGAAUGAUGAAGGUCUUAGGAUUGUAAAAUUCUUUCACCGGGGAAGAUAAUGACGGUACCCGGAGAAGAAGCCCCGGCUAACUUCGUGCCAGCCGCCGCGGUAAAAC